rnacentral:rRNA from 1 species
UACGUAGGCAGCGAGCGUUGUUCGGAAUUACUGGGCGUAAAGAGUGUGUAGGCGGUGCUCUAAGUUCGGUGUGAAAUCUCCCGGCUCAACCGGGAGGGUGCGCCGAAUACUGAGGGACUAGAGUACGGGAGAGGAAAGUGGAAUUCCUGGUGUAGCGGUGAAAUGCGUAGAUAUCAGGAGGAACACCGGUGGUGUAGACGGCUUUCUGGACCGUAAACUGACGCUGAGACACGAAAAGCGUGGGUAGCAAACAGG